rnacentral:rRNA from 1 species
UGGGGAAUAUUGGACAAUGGGCGCAAGCCUGAUCCAGCCAUGCCGCGUGAGUGAUAAGGCCUUAGGGUUGUAAAGCUCUUUCACCCACGACGAUAAUGACGGUAGUGGGAGAAGAAGCCCCGGCUAACUUCGUGCCAGCAGCCGCGGUAAUACGAAGGGGGCUAGCGUUGUUCGGAAUCACUGGGCGUAAAGCGUACGUAGGCGGAUCGUUAAGUCAGAGGUGAAAGCCUGGAGCUCAACUCCAGAACUGCCUUUGAUACUGGCGGUCUUGAGUUCGGGAGAGGUGAGUGGAACUGCUAGUGUAGAGGUGAAAUUCGUAGAUAUUAGCAAGAACACCAGUGGCGAAGGCGGCUCACUGGCCCGAUACUGACGCUGAGGUACGAAAGCGUGGGGAGCAAACAGG